GCCAUUGUCCCUGCUUCUGACCUCACAAAACACUGAUGGGGCCCUGAGAUGACUUGCCAAGAGAGGCUAGGCCAAAGGGCUUGGUUAGAUCUUGCCUAGACACUGCCUUAUCCACCAGUGGGCUGUUCUGUGGGUGAAUCAUCUAACUCAGGACCACAUGAGACCAAGAGAAUGGUUUGUGUGUCUCCUCUGGGAGUGGCACAAAGAAGGAUGAAAGAUAGAAGUAGGGUCAGGCCCUUAAUAGCCUCUGGUCUUCCCAGAGACUGGUGAUUGCAGCUGUUCCCAAAUGGUUUUUGGUGAGCAUUUCAGCCCUCUGGAAAUUGACCAUCCAGAAGAGGACUUGACUCAGAGGAGAGAGUGAUGAACACACAGAUGAUCCUCCAUAAGGGGUCAUUUUUAUCACUGAUUAAGAAAGUGGGAGAUGAAGGAUUUGAGUUUCGUUUGGAGACCACUGGCUGUAACUGCUAUAUUACUAACUACUGUUACUCUAACAGACAAACCUUGAAGUCUCCAUGGCUUACCGUAAGUGUAUUUCUGCUAUUACACAGACCAAGCAGGUGUUCCGAAUGAGUGGGCGGCU
rnacentral:lncRNA from 12 species